rnacentral:rRNA from 1 species
GAGUUUGAUCCUGGCUCAGAUUGAACGCUGGCGGCAGGCCUAACACAUGCAAGUCGAGCGGUAGAGAGAAGCUUGCUUCUCUUGAGAGCGGCGGACGGGUGAGUAAUGCCUAGGAAUCUGCCUGGUAGUGGGGGAUAACGCUCGGAAACGGACGCUAAUACCGCAUACGUCCUACGGGAGAAAGCAGGGGACCUUCGGGCCUUGCGCUAUCAGAUGAGCCUAGGUCGGAUUAGCUAGUUGGUGAGGUAAUGGCUCACCAAGGCGACGAUCCGUAACUGGUCUGAGAGGAUGAUCAGUCACACUGGAACUGAGACACGGUCCAGACUCCUACGGGAGGCAGCAGUGGGGAAUAUUGGACAAUGGGCGAAAGCCUGAUCCAGCCAUGCCGCGUGUGUGAAGAAGGUCUUCGGAUUGUAAAGCACUUUAAGUUGGGAGGAAGGGCAGUAAUUAAUACUUUGCUGUUUGACGUUACCGACAGAAUAAGCACCGGCUGACUCUGUGCCAG